GCUACAGGCUUAACACAUGCAAGUCGAGGGGCAGCAUGGUCUUAGCUUGCUAAGGCCGAUGGCGACCGGCGCACGGGUGAGUAACACGUAUCCAACCUGCCGUCUACUCUUGGACAGCCUUCUGAAAGGAAGAUUAAUACAAGAUGGCAUCAUGAGUCCGCAUGUUCACAUGAUUAAAGGUAUUCCGGUAGACGAUGGGGAUGCGUUCCAUUAGAUAGUAGGCGGGGUAACGGCCCACCUAGUCUUCGAUGGAUAGGGGUUCUGAGAGGAAGGUCCCCCACAUUGGAACUGAGACACGGUCCAAACUCCUACGGGAGGCAGCAGUGAGGAAUAUUGGUCAAUGGGCGAGAGCCUGAACCAGCCAAGUAGCGUGAAGGAUGACUGCCCUAUGGGUUGUAAACUUCUUUUAUAAAGGAAUAAAGUCGGGUAUGGAUACCCGUUUGCAUGUACUUUAUGAAUAAGGAUCGGCUAACUCCGUG
rnacentral:rRNA from 1 species